AUUGAACGCUGGCGGCAUGCCUUACACAUGCCAGUCGAACGGUAACAGGUCUUCGGAUGCUGACGAGUGGCGAACGGGUGAGUAAUACAUCGGAACGUGCCCGAUCGUGGGGGAUAACGAAGCGAAAGCUUUGCUAAUACCGCAUACGAUCUACGGAUGAAAGCAGGGGACCGCAAGGCCUUGCGCGAACGGAGCGGCCGAUGGCAGAUUAGGUAGUUGGUGGGAUAAAAGCUUACCAAGCCGACGAUCUGUAGCUGGUCUGAGAGGACGACCAGCCACACUGGGACUGAGACACGGCCCAGACUCCUACGGGAGGCAGCAGUGGGGAAUUUUGGACAAUGGGCGAAAGCCUGAUCCAGCCAUGCCGCGUGCAGGAUGAAGGCCUUCGGGUUGUAAACUGCUUUUGUACGGAACGAAAAGACUCUGGUUAAUACCUGGGGUCCAUGACGGUACCGGAAGAAUAAGCACCGGCUAACUACGUG
rnacentral:rRNA from 1 species